rnacentral:rRNA from 1 species
GACGGGUGAGUAACACGUGGGCAAUCUGCCCUGCACUCUGGGACAAGCCCUGGAAACGGGGUCUAAUACCGGAUAAUACUCUGUCCCGCAUGGGAUGGGGUUGAAAGCUCCGGCGGUGCAGGAUGAGCCCGCGGCCUAUCAGCUUGUUGGUGGGGUGAUGGCCUACCAAGGCGACGACGGGUAGCCGGCCUGAGAGGGCGACCGGCCACACUGGGACUGAGACACGGCCCAGACUCCUACGGGAGGCAGCAGUGGGGAAUAUUGCACAAUGGGCGAAAGCCUGAUGCAGCGACGCCGCGUGAGGGAUGACGGCCUUCGGGUUGUAAACCUCUUUCAGCAGGGAAGAAGCGCAAGUGACGGUACCUGCAGAAGAAGCGCCGGCUAACUACGUGCCAGCAGCCGCGGUAAUACGUAGGGCGCAAGCGUUGUCCGGAAUUAUUGGGCGUAAAGAGCUCGUAGGCGGCUUGUCACGUCGGUUGUGAAAGCCCGGGGCUUAACCCCGGGUCUGCAGUCGAUACGGGCAGGCUAGAGUGUGGUAGGGGAGAUCGGAAUUCCUGGUGUAGCGGUGAAAUGCGCAGAUAUCAGGAGGAACACCGGUGGCGAAGGCGGAUCUCUGGGCCAUUACUGACGCUGAGGAGCGAAAGCGUGGGGAGCGAACAGGAUUAGAUACCCUGGUAGUCCACGCCGUAAACGUUGGGAACUAGGUGUUGGCGACAUUCCACGUCGUCGGUGCCGCAGCUAACGCAUUAAGUUCCCCGCCUGGGGAGUACGGCCGCAAGGCUAAAACUCAAAGGAAUUGACGGG